rnacentral:rRNA from 1 species
UAGGGAAUCUUCGGCAAUGGGGGCAACCCUGACCGAGCAACGCCGCGUGAGUGAAGAAGGUUUUCGGAUCGUAAAGCUCUGUUGUAAGAGAAGAACGAGUGUGAGAGUGGAAAGUUCACACUGUGACGGUAACUUACCAGAAAGGGACGGCUAACUACGUGCCAGCAGCCGCGGUAAUACGUAGGUCCCGAGCGUUAUCCGGAUUUAUUGGGCGUAAAGCGAGCGCAGGCGGUUAGAUAAGUCUGAAGUUAAAGGCUGUGGCUUAACCAUAGUACGCUUUGGAAACUGUUUAACUUGAGUGCAGAAGGGGAGAGUGGAAUUCCAUGUGUAGCGGUGAAAUGCGUAGAUAUAUGGAGGAACACCGGUGGCGAAAGCGGCUCUCUGGUCUGUAACUGACGCUGAGGCUCGAAAGCGUGGGGAGCAAACAGGAUUAGAUACCCUGGUAGUCCACGCCGUAAACGAUGAGUGCUAGGUGUUGGGUCCUUUCCGGGACUCAGUGCCGAAGCUAACGCAUUAAGCACUCCGCCUGGGGAGUACGACCGCAAGGUUG